UUAUGGCGGGAGGUGUAACAUGUACUUUUUUUAUCGCGACAACAUUUAACAAUUCAAUCUGGUCGACAACACUUGUUUUUUUCGUUGGUCUGGAGUUAACGCGUUUUCGUUAGAGUGAAACAAAAACGAGAGAGAAGGGACAGUUGUUAAGUAACUGCGGGAAUGAUCGGAGAUAACUUCUCGUAAAGUGUUUUUCUUGGCUUGCGUUAACAAACAGCUGCAAUGCGAAUUUAAUCAAAUAUAAAAUAAAUUCCAUUUACGUUACUUACGUCUUCGAAAAUUUAAGCAUUCAACAAACACAUCAAAAGUAAAGUUUACGUAAUUGUGCAACUACAUUUUCGUUUCCUUAAGAAAGUGAUUUUCUACAAAAGCCGAGACAUUUUACAAGAUGUUUCCUUAAGCAAGUGGGUUUCUACAAACAUUACAAAAAUUUUUAAUUAAGCAAAAAAAAGUUACCUUGCACUUUUUUUUUUUUUUUUGAAUAGUGGAAGAAAAGGCAAAGACACUUUAUAAAAUGUUUGUGAAGUAAUUUAAAAUGCUUAUGAAAGAAUGUGCGGAGUAUCGCAUAUUAGGAAAAUAAAGCGGAAUAAAUAAACGAAUGCUAUGCGUAUGAGACGUAGUGCACAUAAAACUUAAGAUGAUCAUAUUCGUUUAAUUUUGCAAUUGCAACGUUUGUUUAAUGAGAUAAUAAAGAAAAAUUAAAAAAUCUGUCACUACUGUACUUUACAAUGAUCACUAUCAGCCUUCCCAGCAACUGCAUCAUCAUCACCACCAUCAACAUUAUCGGCAGCAGCAGCAUAUAGGCAUGGUUCCAGUGUCGCAAUGUUUUCUUUUUUUGUCAUAGUUCUAAGUAAUGUUAUAUAAAUUAUAUACAUCUCUUUUCUUCGGUUUGUGAACGUCAGAAGUAGACAAUUUUUAAAACACUGCUUUAUAUGAAUUAAAUGCAGGCAAGAGAGGUCUGAAAACUCAACUUCGGGGUUUCUCAUACAAAAUCAUGCGUCGAUGAAGACACAGGGAGGACUGGGUGUAGAACGGCCCAGGGCAUAUGAUCAGCGAAUCUGAUGUGCUGAGUGUAAACGUCUGUGAUGUGUCUGUUGGGUUACGAGUAAAUACAACCCGGAAACAACAGACCAAUUGAGCGAAUGCCCUGCAAGAGGUGAAUCGAAAAAACAGCGCCAAAGUCGCUUAAAAAUCAAAGUGAUUCGCCUAGGCCGAACCUCGCAUACCCAUCAUUAUUAAAAGUUUUAGUGCUCCUUCUUUUUAAUAAUGGUUAAAGAGAAGUGAAUGGGACAAAAUUUGUAACGUCCGCGAACAAAUUCAAGAUAGGGUGUCAGUCGGUCUGUUUUUGUCGUAAAUGUAGUAAUAACGGCAUGCCGUUAUGCAAAAUCGCAUGAUCACAAAAAUAGUGCUUGAGGUUUCGGAGGUUGUUUUUUGGCUACGAGGGGAGUGCAGUUUGAGUUGUGAAGGAGAUCGGAUGCAGGUGACAUUGAAAUCAGAGGAAUGACUUUCUUUGUAGUAACAAUUUAUUAAAAACGAAAAGAAAAAAAAAAAAGAAAAUAUAAUUAAAAAUCUUGCUUUCUACCUGUAAAUGUUAUCGAUACAAGAUUUAGUUUAAAUCAUUAUAAAUAUUAAUAGAAGCAUAAAAGAUAUUAAUAAGAGAAGGAUUGAUAAUAUCUUGUAUAUACAGAUAUAAUUAGUGAAAUUCAGUAUAAGAAAAGAAACAAAAAUGUAUAACGGAAAACAUCAAAAGGUUAUUUACUUAAAUUAAAUCUUAACCAUAAUGAAAACUCAAAACAAUAUGAACAGAAACAUUUUGUAUAUUAAUCCUCAGAAUUUUUAUUCAAACAUUAUUACAUGUUUU